GCACAGCUGCCAGAGGGUCUGCGACCGGGUGGCAGAGCCCUGAGCUGUCCUGAAUUUGCCAUACAACACAUCCUAUUUCAGGUUAGCAGCUCUGCUCUCUAUGGCUGCUGCAGACUGCCAUUGCUGUGCACUCAGUGCUUUCCUUUUCCUUGUGGAUUUUAUUCCUUCCUUUAGCUCAGAGAGGGAAAUGGUACUGUCCCUAUAAUCAAGGAGCAGCUCACAUUACAGCGUUGCUGUUGAUCUGUCCGAGAGCCAGUCUUGGCAGCAAGCUUGCUCCCUCCUGCUGAUUGGAUGGGUCUGCAGAGUUUCUGCUGCUCCAGCCUGUGCAGUGCGACAGAGCCCUUAGUGUUUCAGAGCAUCACUUGGGCCCUUCUGACUGUUCAGGUCCAGGCAUCCACUCCUGUUCUCCCCUAGGUCUGGAGUUCAGCCCUGAUACUUAGGUGUGUUCUUGCCUCCCUUCUUCUGAGGUCUGGCUCUGCUUCUGUUACUGCUGGUAACCCAGAUGGAGUGUGAGGUGAGAUGCUGUGAGCAUCUAGUAAAGGCACUUAGAUUCUGAGCCACAGCAUCUUGCUCCACCUCCCCAGAUGCUGCCCUAAGGGGCCAAUGCCAAUCCUGCCUGGACCAGCAUUAGCUCUGCUGCGGCGACUUGAUAGCAGUCUGGAGAUGAAUGAAUUUCCAGCUAUGCCACCUCUGAGCUCCCACUGAAACCUUUGCUGGAGACAAAAAUGUCAGAUCUGCACUGUUUCUGUCCACAGGCUGGUGUGAGACAUACAGAGGAAAAAGUUGUGACUUCCUUAAAGCCCUGGGGAGUUUCCUUGGUUUCCAGAGUGAUGCCCAGAGAAUAUGUAUUUGAAAGCCUGGCGCUCUCUCUCCACAAGGAUGGCUUUCCCAGUUCCCAAUUACAACAGUAACAGACGCGUCCAGUUACGUAUACGAUAUAUCCCCGGGGAUAAGCACUCGAUAUAGAUCCACUUUGGGGUGUAUUUACUGAGAAAAACCUCACCCAUCGGCCCAGGAGUAUUUGCCCUAGCUUCUGAGCCAUCAGAAUUGGAGCAAGAUAUUUAUCAGCAAACUCAGCAUUAUCAUUUUUGGAUUUUAGGGUAUAAACUGAGUCACUGAGAACAGUUGUGAAGAUACAUGGUUACAACAAAAAAACAGAGUUUCCAUUGUGGCUCAGCAGAAAUGAAUUUGAUUAGUAACCAUGAGGAUGAAGGUUCGAUACCUGGCCUUGCUCAGUGGGUAAAGGAU